UCUUACAUAUAUGAUUUAGUUUCGUAGCAUUUGUUUACACGCGAUGAGUAUGAUUUACUGUGUGUAUCCAGGAAAGAAACUUUUCUUUUGAUCUCGUGUGUGCGCGAGUAAUUUAGAAGGCGGUCUCGACUAUAACAAUCCGUGGUCAAUAUGAGUAGUAGCUCAUUUCGCUACCUCAGAUACAUAUCAAUGACUAUCAUGACAAGUUCGUCAAUCUGCACUGACGCCAUUUCUAUAUUUCUUGUGUCGUCUGCUGCGGCCUUCCAUUUAGCAGGGAUACUUAUUCCGGGCUGGUGGAAUGUUCCAGGAACGCCUACUGCCAACCUCACCACCAAAUAUGGAGUCUGGAGCACGCUGACUUGUAUGGAAGGAGAAUGUAUGGAAAUAGAAACUGAUACAUCUGGAAAAAAUGCAUGGUUACAAGUUACCCAGGUGUUCGAGACUGCAGGAGCAGUCUUGUGUUUUGUGGCGCUUCUAAUCUACAUCUCCACAACAUUGUUACGUGAGAAAUGGAGUUAUAUCUUGAAACGGUUGUUUGUGUGUCUCAUAGCUGGAGCCGGUGUGGCUAUUAUUAUUGGUGUGGCCGUUUUCGUUAAAAAGUCUGCCGGAUUAACGCGUUUUAAAGGUCGGGGUGGUCACGUGGAAUGGCCGAUUGGGUUGUCUAUAUUUAGUGCUGUAUUGUGUAUUGCGGACUCUGUGUUUGUAGGGCUGUCAUUGAGAACGCCCAAGAUACCCGGACAUAACAUGUUCCUGUAGACAUCCACCACGAAACAUUAAAGAUACAUUAUGUUAGAGUAUCUCUACCACUAAACAUUAAAGAUACAUUAUGUUAGAGUAUCUCCACCACUAAACAUUGAAGAUACAUUAUGUUAGAGUAUUUCCACCACUAAACAUUAAAGAUACAUUAUGUUAGAUUAUUUCCACCACUAAACAUUAAAGAUACAUUAUGUUAGAGUAUCUCCACCACUAAACAUUAAAGAUACAUUAUGUUAGAUUAUUUCCACCAUUAAACAUUAAAGAUACAUUAUGUUAGAUGUGGAUAAAGAGCUGACAAUUCUCGCUAUAAUAAUAGAUCAUGUCCACCACUAUACAUUAAAGAUACAUUAUGUGAAAUUUAGAUAAAGAGCUGGUCGUUCUCGUUAUAAUAGUUCAAGAAAUAGAUAAUAAACAAUUAAUAUAUUGAAAAUGUCAGUAAAAUUACUUUAUUCUGAAGUUUUGACAAGAAAUGGAGAAAAUAGUCUCGAUUGUCGAGUACCAUUGCUAACGAUAAUAAACGAAGACCAGUUCUAAUAUCUAAAUAAUAAGUUUUAUAACACAUGAGAACAGAAAAAAGACCUGCAAUAGACAGACAUAGCUCAUUCUUAAUGUAUCUUUAAUGAUGUUUUAGUUUUUUUAUGAUGAAUUGUGCUCGAGCGUUACUGUGUUAUGAAAGUGACAAUUAGCAAUGAGAUAAAGUUAGUUAAUUUAAAAUAUGAAAUGUCACAGCGAUAUCAGUCAUGGGUUGUGUGUGGGUAAGUCAGUGCGCUUUUCUGUGUUUUUUAUUUUUACAUUUACGAAUUCUUCAUAUAUUACGUUUCCCGUAAAUUGAAAUCGGAAUUUAUUUCAACCAAAAGUUAAACUUCGCUUAUUUCGUCUUCGUAUAUCCGUCUUCAUUCAGCUGGUUGUUGCAGAAAUGUAGGAUAGGCCGCGAGAGAGAGAGGGGGGGAGAGAGCGGGUGAGUGAGUGUGUGAGAGAGAGGAAGAGUGAGGGUGAGAAAGAGAGGAAGAGUGAGGGUGAGAGAGAGGGGGAGAGACAGAGAGGGGGAG